rnacentral:rRNA from 1 species
AUUGAACGCUGGCGGCAGGCCUAACACAUGCAAGUCGAACGAGUGGCGGACGGGUGAGUAAUGUCUGUGAAACUGCCUGAUGGCGGGGGAUAACUCCUGGAAACGGUAGCUAAUACCGCAUACCCUCAGAUGUGCCCAUAUGGGAUUAGCUUGUUGGUGGGGUAACGGCUCACCAAGGCGACGAUCCCUAGCUGGUCUGAGAUGAUGACCAGCCACACGGGAAGUGAGACACGGUCCAGCUGCCUACGGGAGGCAGCAGUGGGGAAUAUUGCACAAUGGGCGCAAGCCUGAUGCAGCCAUGCCGCGUGUAUGAAGAAGGCCUUCGGGUUGUAAAGUACUUUCAGCGGGGAGGCGUUACCCGCAGAAGAAGCACCGGCUAACUCCGUGCCAGCAGCCGCGGUAAUUC